CGCUGCCCCGCUCGGCCCCGCGCCGCGCAUGCGCCGCCCCCGCUGAGGGGACGCUGAGGGGGGCUGAGGGCAGGGCGCUGGGGCUGGUGCGGGGCGAGGCGUUAGCGGCAGGCAGCGGGAGGGAGGGGGCAGCCCCGGCUCAGCCGCUGUCCCGCCGCCUUCCUUCAGUCACACAGUGCGGUGAUUUGAAGGAAAAAGCCGCCCCGACCCGCGCCGGUGCGCUGUGGGCACAACCCGCGCCGGUGCGCUGUCUGCCUCGACAUCGGUAACAUCACUGAGGCGGCGGCAGGAGGUGCGAAGUGUUUCUGCCUUUAUUUGCCUUCCCGGUCUCUGGGCUGAGGGGAAAAAGCGCACAAAAAGCCCCGUACAGCGGCUCCUUGUGUGCCGCUGUCCAUACCGCCUCGGUCCUGGGGGCUCACCUGCGGCCGCCCUGCCCUCGGACAGCAAUUAAUGCUGAGGUAAAUUUAGGGGAGAUAACGUCCCUUAGUAACUCACAUCACUCCCUGCACAAGCUGCUUCACAGAGUGACAGUGGCUCACGUUUUCUGUGCUCUCAGAUGAAGUCAGAAAGUUAAAUCCGAGGUUGAGAGCUCUUCUGUUCAAGCUGUGACUGCCAGGGGUUUACUGAGGGAAAUUCCCGCUCCUUGCAUAUAAGCCAAGGUAAAUGCCACCCUGAGAGCAGUUCUGUGUUCAUUGUGUGGGCCCUCCUCACCUGAGGGAGUAUCCCCCUGUGGGCGACCUAUUCUGAAAGUGCAGAGGCAGAAACAUUUCCUCACAAAAAAAUCUGGUGUCCAGGAGAUGUAGGAAGAAGGUAGGCAUGGGCCAGUGGAGUGGCCAAGAGAGAGAUGGAAAUUGGUCAUGGGGCACUGGUGUCAAUGGGAGGAGGAAGGUCUGGGAUUGUAAGACAUUGGCAAAGAAAGGUGGCAAGUUUCUAUGCUGAAAUCGGUCUGAUUUUGUUUGACUUUAGAAUGAAAAGUAUGGCCUGGAAACUGGUGAGUCAUCUGAGGGAAUCAGUGGACUGUUCUCACAAAGGUGAUAAUCGCUAGGAGGGAACAUGGGUGACAGAACAGAAGGUUGUUGGUCCACAAAGAGCACUGGUUAAAGGAUGUGCCCUGAGCCAGGACAUGAACACAUGGCAUUAGUUUUUAGACGUUCUGCUAGCAAGCCUGGGAAUGAUAGCGAUGCUCUCUGUGCCAUUCUGGAUGACAGAAGAUUUAUGCCUGAGUCACUUGUGGACGGCUGCUCAAAAGGCUGCAGGUCCUAGCAGAAAGCUACAGCUUCCAGGUAUGUCCCUAUUUUCCUAGAAAAAAAUGGAGCAGUAAUGUAUGUUGGCAAAAUUGAGAGGACAAGAACUGUAGGCAAGCAUCAAAUUCAGUCACAAUUCUAUUUUUUAUUAUUAUUAAAUCAUUGAAACUGCCCAAAGCCUUCAGUUUUUAUUCCUUCUAUAAUGCAG
rnacentral:lncRNA from 1 species